rnacentral:misc_RNA from 1 species
GAUUUCUGGAGGCAGCCAAGCCAAAUCUAUUGAGAGGGAUGAUGAAGUUUCAGAUGAUAUGCUGGAAGCAAGUGCUUACCAGCAGCACACAGGAUCUCAUAGGAGCAGGGCAUCCAAAUUUUUUGACAGGGAGGGUGCUGUUUGUGAUGACCUACUGGAGGACAAUACUUAUCAGCAACGUAUGAGGAUAUUCAGAACCAAGCAAGCC